GCCGAGGUGGUGGAAUUGGUAGACACGCUAGCUUGAGGGGCUAGUGGGCGUUCAUGCCCGUGCAGGUUCAAGUCCUGUUCUCGGCACCA
rnacentral:tRNA from 1 species